rfam:Camelus ferus unplaced genomic scaffold scaffold508, whole genome shotgun sequence.
GAUGGUAUAGCUUAGUGGUAGAGUUCAUGCCUAGCAUGCAUGAGGUCCUGGGUCCAAUCCCCAGUACCUCUA